GGGAGGCAGCAGUGGGGAAUCUUCCGCAAUGGACGAAAGUCUGACGGAGCAACGCCGCGUGAGUGAUGAAGGAUUUCGGUCUGUAAAGCUCUGUUGUUUAUGACGAAGUGCAGUGUGUGAACAAUGCAUUGCAAUGACGGUAGUAAACGAGGAAGCCACGGCUAACUACGUGCCAGCAGCCGCGGUAAUACGUAGGUGGCGAGCGUUGUCCGGAAUUAUUGGGCGUAAAGAGCAUGUAGGCGGCUUAAUAAGUCGAGCGUGAAAAUGCGGGGCUCAACCCCGUAUGGCGCUGGAAACUGUUAGGCUUGAGUGCAGGAGAGGAAAGGGGAAUUCCCAGUGUAGCGGUGAAAUGCGUAGAUAUUGGGAGGA
rnacentral:rRNA from 1 species